GACAGAGGUGCCGAGCGUUAGGCGGAAUCACUGGGCUUAAAGCGUGUGUAGGCGGGUCGUUAAGUGUCUUGUGAAAUCCCACCGCUCAACGGUGGAACUGCUGGGCAUACUGGCGAUCUUGAGCCACCUAGGGGCAGACGGAACAAGCGGUGGAGCGGUGAAAUGCGUAGAUAUCGUUUGGAACGCCAAUGGUGAAAACAGACAGCUGGGAGUGUGCUGACGCUGAGACACGAAAGCCAGGGGAGCGAACGGG
rnacentral:rRNA from 1 species